rnacentral:rRNA from 1 species
CCUACGGGAGGCAGCAGUGGGGAAUAUUGCGCAAUGGGCGAAAGCCUGACGCAGCGACGCCGCGUGUGGGAUGAAGGUCUUCGGAUUGUAAACCACUGUCGGGAGGGACGAAGCUCUGACGGUACCUCCAAAGGAAGCACCGGCUAACUCUGUGCCAGCAGCCGCGGUAAUACAGAGGGUGCAAGCGUUGUCCGGAAUCACUGGGCGUAAAGGGCGCGUAGGCGGCCCGGUAAGUAGGGGGUGAAAUUCUGCGGCUUAACCGCAGGACUGCCUCCUAAACUGCCAGGCUUGAGCACGGUAGAGGCUGGUGGAAUUCCCGGUGUAGCGGUGGAAUGCGUAGAGAUCGGGAAGAACAUCGGUGGCGAAGGCGGCCAGCUGGGCCGUUGCUGACGCUGAGGCGCGACAGCGUGGGGAGCAAACAGGAUUAGAUACCCUGGUAGUCCACGCCGUAAACGAUGGGUACUAGGCGUCGGGGGGAGCGACCCCUUCGGUGCCGUCGUUAACACAGUAAGUACCCCGCCUGGGGAGUACGGCCGCAAGGCUGAAACUCAAAGGAAUUGACGG